rnacentral:rRNA from 1 species
CACGUAGGCGGACAUUUAAGUCAGGGGUGAAAUCCCAGAGCUCAACUCUGGAACUGCCUUUGAUACUGGGUGUCUUGAGUAUGGAAGAGGUGAGUGGAAUUCCGAGUGUAGAGGUGAAAUUCGUAGAUAUUCGGAGGAACACCAGUGGCGAAGGCGGCUCACUGGUCCAUUACUGACGCUGAGGUGAGAAGCGGUGGGGAGACAAACGA